UACGAAGGGGGCUAGCGUUGUUCGGAAUUACUGGGCGUAAAGCGCAUGUAGGCGGAUAUUUAAGUCAGGGGUGAAAUCCCGCAGCUCAACUGCGGAACUGCCUUUGAUACUGGGUAUCUUGAGUAUGGAAGAGGUGAGUGGAAUUCCGAGUGUAGAGGUGAAAUUCGUAGAUAUUCGGAGGAACACCAGUGGCGAAGGCGGCUCACUGGUCCAUUACUGACGCUGAGGUGCGAAAGCGUGGGGAGCGAACAGG
rnacentral:rRNA from 1 species